GGUGGCAUGGCCAAGUGGUAAGGCAGUUGAUUGCAAAUCAUCGACCCCCAGUUCAAAUCUGGGUGCCGCCU
rnacentral:tRNA from 1 species